AUGUGGCCUGCACCAGUGCUUCUGCUCGUCCAGUCGGCUCUGCUGAUUCAAGGAUCUUCCGCCAAUGAAUUUCUGACCCAGACAGACAAAAUCAAGUCUGUCAGUCUUGGUGGGACGGUGACCAUCAGCGCCACAGGGAGUUCAGACAUUGGUGCUGAUCUCAGUUGGUACCAAGUGAAACCUGGACAGGUUCCAAAACCUCUGAUCUACGAUGCAUCAUCCCGCUUCUCUGGAACACCAUCUCGAUUCAGUGGCACACGAUCUGGCUCUGACUACACUCUGACUAUCAGUGGUGUUCAGGCAGAAGAUGUCGCUGAUUACUACUGUCUCGGCUAUCAUAGCAGUGGAAGGUAUACACGGUGA